GACGAACGCUGGCGGUGUGCUUCACACAUGCAAGUCGAACGAGUGACUGCUUUGUAGCAAUACAAAGUAGAAGCUAGUGGCGGACGGGUGAGUAACGCGUAGGAAUCUGCCUUUGAGUGGGGAGUAGCAGACCGAAGGUACUAUUAAUACCGCAUGCGUAUAUACUUCGACAGUUGGUAUAUAUAAAAGAAGCAAUCUGCUCAUAGA
rnacentral:rRNA from 1 species